rnacentral:rRNA from 1 species
UUCGAUGGUAGGAUAGAGGCCUACCAUGGUGGUAACGGGUAACGGGGUGUUAGGGCACGACACCGGAGAGGGAGCCUGAGAAACGGCUACCACAUCCAAGGAUGGCAGCAGGCGCGCAAAUUACCCAAUCCCGACACGGGGAGGUAGUGACAAUAAAUAACAAUACGGGGUUCUUUAGGAUCUCGUAAUUGGAAUGAGUACAAUUUAAAUCUCUUAACGAGGAACAAUUGGAGGGCAAGUCUGGUGCCAGCAGCCGCGGUAAUUCCAGCUCCAAUAGCGUAUAUUAAAGUUGUUGCAGUUAAAAAGCUCGUAGUUGAAUUUCGGGGUUAGUAGGUUGGUCAUGCCUCCGGUAUGUACUGAUCUCACUGAUUCCUCCUUCCUUAUGAACCGUAAUGCCAUUAAUUUGGUGUUGCGGGGAAUUUGGACUGUUACUUUGAAAAAAUUAGAGUGUUUAAAGCAGGCUAACGCUUGAAUACAUUAGCAUGGAAUAAUGAAAUAGGACGUUCGAUCUUAUUUUGUUGGUUUCUAGGAUUGACGUAAUGAUUAAUAGGGAUAGUUGGGGGCAUUAGUAUUCAAUUGUCAGAGGUGAAAUUCUUGGAUUUAUUGAAGACUAACUACUGCGAAAGCAUUUGCCAAGGAUGUUUUCAUUAAUCAAGAACGAAAGUUAGGGGAUCGAAGACGAUCAGAUACCGUCGUAGUCUUAACCAUAAACUAUGCCGACUAGGGAUCGGAUGAUGUUAAUUUUUUAAUGACUCAUUCGGCGCCUUACG